CAGAGGGGGGAUAACAUUCGGAAACGGAUGCUAAAACCGCAUAGGUCCUUUAACCGCAUGGUUGAAGGAGGAAAAGAGGCGCAAGCUUCUGCUGAUGGAUGGACCCGCGGUGCAUUAGCUAGUUGGUGAGGUAACGGCUCACCAAGGCCGUGAUGCAUAGCCGACCUGAGAGGGUGAUCGGCCACAUUGGGACUGAGACACGGCCCAAACUCCUACGGGAGGCAGCAGUGGGGAAUAUUGGACAAUGGGGGAAACCCUGAUCCAGCGACGCCGCGUGAGUGAAGAAGUAUUUCGGUAUGUAAAGCUCUAUCAGCAGGGAAGAAAAUGACGGUACCUGACUAAGAAGCCCCGGCUAACUACGUGCCAGCAGCCGCGGUAAUACGUAGGGGGCAAGCGUUAUCCGGAUUUACUGGGUGUAAAGGGAGCGCAGACGGCGAAGCAAGUCUGAAGUGAAAUGCAUGGGCUCAACCCAUGAAUUGCUUUGGAAACUGUUUGGCUUGAGUGUCGGAGGGGUAAGCGGAAUUCCUAGUGUAGCGGUGAAAUGCGUAGAUAUUAGGAGGAACACCGGAGGCGAAGGCGGCUUACUGGAGGACAACUGACGUUGAGGCUCGAAGGCGUGGGGAGCAAACAGGAUUAGAUACCCUGGUAGUCCACGCAGUAAACGAUGAAUACUUGGUGUCGGGGAGGUAAACUCUUCGGUGCCGCAAGCAAACGCAUUAAGUAUUCCACCUGGGGAGUACGUUCGCAAGAAUGAAACUCAAAGGAAUUGACGGC
rnacentral:rRNA from 1 species